CUCCCCUUUACUGCAUAGGUCUAGUAUACUUUUCUGAAUGAAAGUCGUGUAGGUUAUAGCAGACGUUUUCAACACCAUAGGCUACAUACCAGCAUUCACCUUGUUGAAAACGGGGUGUUAGUUGCUGUUCCCAUUGGUCACUUGGUAUCAGGGAAUAAAUAGCCAGUGGCCAAAAAUCCCUCUGGUGCUAAUCCCUCCGGUGAUUUAGAUCCUGAGAAGAAGAAACGAAUCUAUUUCCUAUUCGGGACCGUUAAUACGAUCAUCAUGUUGUCUGCAGCAUCACCACUCGCGCGCACCGGCGUUGGAGAGGUACAGAAUGCGGGUGUGUCCUCGCCUCCCCCUCCCAGUCUUCGUUCCUCGCUCAGGUUGUCGUAGGAUGGCGAUUGACACAAAAAGGUGGGGAUAGGGUUCCGACCUGGAGGAAUGGUACUUCUGGUUAUAGCCAAAGGUGCUAAGAUCGGCAGAAUUCUAUGCAUCCAGUGUCCUUAGCCGCUAUGACGUUGCCCGCAUCAGACAGCCGCAAAGGGUGCGAGGACAGGAGGGGGAGAUCCAGAGCAAGCCAGUCAUACUGCAGCCUGGACCACGUACAGCCACAGCAGUGCGGGCAGCAUGAAGAGAGAGAGCACGGAGCAGACGGUGGAGCAGAGCCAGAACACCAGGAGAAAGAAGCACAAGGGCAUUCAUAUCACUGCAGCAGCAGACUCCCUCGUGGCCUGACUAGUUCACCUCAGAUACACCACUAUAGACCAACACGCUCCCAGUACGGACAGAUUGUAUUAAAAAGUAUGUAUUUUAUCCAGCAGAAGUUGGAAAGAUCAAAGGUUACAGUCCAUUCCAAUGUGACAUUUGACUGAAAGGCCAAAUCCAAAACAUUAGCAUUUCUGACAACCACGCAAACAGUGAAACAAAUUAAGACACCAACCAGUAUACUAACCUUUUGUUGCAGGGAACCAUUAUCUAUGAGCUCAUGUGAGUUUAGUUUGGCUCUGCUGCACUGCAUGAC
rnacentral:lncRNA from 1 species